rnacentral:RNase_P_RNA from 1 species
UUAUUCGGAUAAUCGCGGUUUAUAUUUAGCAAUACAAGCUGAGGAAAGUCCAUACUCGCACAAGCUGCGAUGCUUGUAGUGUUCGUGCUAGCUGAAAAAAUAAGGCUAGGUAUCUUUAAAACUCUGCCUAUUAUAAACGGAAUUUUAGAUAACGGCAGGAAAACAUACUAAGGUUUUUAAACUAUGUAUCAGUAUCCUUGAAAGUGCCACAGUGACGAAGCAUUUAAAGAAAUUUAAAUGGUGGAACGCGGUAAACCCCUCGAGCGAGCAACCCAAACUUAUGGUAGGGGCAUCUUUUAAAGCGGAAAUGAACGCAAAAAGGAGUGGUUUUUUGUUGUAUGAAACAAAAAAUUGCAGAUAGAUGAUUAUCACUUAUCUUUUUUUCUUGAGAUUAGAUAAGUACAGAAAAUGGCUUAUAGAA